CACGUAGUUAGCCGUGACUUUCUGGUUGAUUACCGUCAAAUAGGGGCCAGUUACUACCUCUAUCCUUCUUCACCAACAACAGAGCUUUACGAUCCGAAAACCUUCUUCACUCACGCGGCGUUGCUCCAUCAGGCUUUCGCCCAUUGUGGAAGAUUCCCUACUGCUGUCUCCCGUAGGAGUUUGGGCCGUGUCUCAGCCCCAAUGUGGCCGAUCAGUCUCUCAACUCGGCUAUGCAUCGUCGCCUUGGUAAGCCAUUACCUUACCAACUAGCCUAAUGCACCGCGGGUCCAUCCUUUAGCGACAGCUUUCGCCGUCCUUUUAAGCAAUAGCCAUGCAGCUAUUGUUGUUAUCGGUAUUAGCACCUGUUCCAAGUGGUAUCCCAGUACUUUUAGGGCUAGGUUACCCACGUGUUACUCACCCAUCCGCCGCUCGCGUUCCCAGCGUCACUCACCGAAGUGAAUCUGUCUGGUUCAGCUCGCUCGACUUU
rnacentral:rRNA from 1 species